GGAGAAUCUGAGACUUCUGAAGAGUUUCUUGCUUCUUUCCUGUGGGGCAGUGACUCCACUUCCCAGCAGUAAUGGAAUAUCCUGAAUUAGCUACAUUAAUGUUAGAACCAUUUGGACCUCACCCAGGACUUCAACUACAUUGUGCUAAAGUUACAGAAUCCAAAUUUGGCAACUGCCUGCAUCUGAACAACAGAAGUUUCAACAUUCUGCCAACAGAGUAACUCCUGGACGACUGGCACAGAAGAAGGCACAAGGCAAAUACCCAUCUCUGUACACCCUGUGCUACUGUGUCAUGUGCUGCUCCAGGCAACUCCAAUGGAUUGGCCACCCUGGCCAAUGUGUGAAUUAUAAAGCAAUGAUGUGUAGCUAUUGAACCUACAAUUUGGUUAAAAUUAAACUCUCAAGUUUUAUAUGUUUACAAGCAUAUUGUCCUUUUGUUAAUUUCCUCCCAAUACUCAUUCUUGACUUCUUUUAGUUUUACUAUGUAGUAAUUUUUAAAAUGUUAUUCAAAGUUAGUUAAUUUAAUUCACUUGGCAGAUUUUCCUGUAAUUUUGGUUAAACAGUAUCCUUUCUGUACAGGCCCUCCAAACACCAGCACUGAGUAGAAAGAGGCUCUGAUUCAUGAAAUGUGAAUUUAUGACAGUUGCCACUCUUUAAAAAAAAACAGACAGAACUUGAGCAAUACAUGACUGAUGCAUUCUCAGCCU
rnacentral:sRNA from 1 species